rnacentral:lncRNA from 1 species
UUUAGUUGUUUCUUUAAGUCAUACAGGCAGUGUAAAAUUGUAGUUACUUCUGUUACACCUAAUUAUAUAAAUGUGCAUUAAAAUAACAUUGUUUUCUUAGAGAGAGAUUAAUGAAAAAACUAUUUUCUAGCAUUAAAAUAUUAUAAAAAUUUAAUUUGUAAAGAUUGAUAUGCUGUUAUUUAUUAUCUGGAAUAUCCAGAUUCAAUUCUGUGUCCCAUAUCUAUACUUUUAUUUAAGGAAAUCUGGCUCUAAUCUGACAAUCCUCAUCCUUCAAAAUGGCCAUGUACUAAAGCAGUCACUUACCACUCUGGACAUUCAGUUCAGGAUUUCACAUCCCAGAUUUUUCAGGAAGAAUCUAGACCCCACCUGUUGAACCCAUUCUUCAACAUUACAAUUGACACUAUUAGGGAAUGACAUACCUAUAGCUAUCGACGCCCAGGGCGGAAGUCGUCCUCCAUUCUGGGCCUCGAUAGCUGUAGGCCUCCUAAUUGGAAUGAUCACCACACAAAAUGUCAACACAGAUAUAUAACUAACAGUUAUUUAAUCAAGAUUAAAUAGUUAAAAU